CAUAACAUGAAGGCGAAC
rnacentral:rRNA from 1 species